rnacentral:rRNA from 1 species
UGCUUAACAGCUAGCCCACCCAACCAACAACAACAACCCCCUAUCAAUACCCCCAAAUAAACAAGUAUCAACCAAACAAACCAUUUUUCCCCCUUAGUAUGGGCGACAGAAAAG